GCGAUAGGCUCUCUUGAGGUCGUCUUCUUUGGCAUUGCGGUCUACCUGAAGGAUUUUAUAGUAGUCCACCCCCAUUUGCCUAAAUAUGAGAGUUUUCUCCUCCUCCUCCUCCUCGUGGAAUUCUGUAAAUGUAGCACCUUCUCUCUACCUCUAGCGCAGGCGCAGUUUCUCUCUUCUUUCACCUCUUCUGAUGUCUGUAAAUUUCUGAGCUUCGGCUUCAUUCAGUUUCCUGGCUGUGCACGGGAAUGGGACAAACUACUCUAUAUUUUAAAUGCAAGGUGUAAUUACAUUUUGCCCCUGAAAGUGGGUUUGACUGAUAUCGACGAGAAUAUACACUUAGGGUUUGAUUGAUAAUUUGGCAAAACCUCACGAGAGGUAAAUAUAUAAUCAAUCCAAAGAAAAGAUGUGUCAAUAAGAAUAUGACAUUUUAUGCCUUUGAAAACUUAUAAUACUAGGUCAAGUUUAAUUUUUUUUUUUCUUUUGGCUGGUUUGACCGGCUAAAUUGGUCAAGAUGAUUCUAAAAGCUUGUUUUAGAGGGUUGAGGUGACUUUUUUCACUCAAAAAAUGGUUCGAUGGCCUACCCUUACCAUUUUAAAUUGUUUAAUGAUCCUUUUGGCCAUUUACUCUUCAUAAUAUAUAAGUAACUUUUUAAAUUAGACUCCUCUUUUGUAUUAGAUUAGAGAGAACUUCUUUCCAUCGCACCUUACUAAAUUAAUUUUCAAAAGUUCUUUUCAAAAAUUAAUAUCAUUUGUAAUAUAUUUCACUGCUUGUAUUAGUUACACAUAAAGUUUCAUACAAAAAUAGACCAAGUUGGUUCUGCUGUCUAAUUAAUCAUUGCAAAAUUUUCACAAUUUUGGCCCAUUUUUCACCGUUCAAAUAUUUCAUGUAAAUUGAAUAUCAAAAUAUUCUAAAAAAAUCAUUUUGUACCAUAUUGAUCUACAGACCAAAGAAAACUAAUGAUACAAUUACAUAAUUUUCUAAUAUUAUAUGGAUUUAGAUAUAAAUAAAUGAAAAGACCAAUAGAGAGAAAUCUCUGUUCAAGUGUGACAAGGAAAACAUCAAGAUCACACAUAUGGUAAUUUUGGAGAGUUAUGAAUAUUUAGUGUUUAAAUGUAAAUCAAUUUCUCAAUAUAAUCAUAAUUUUAUUCCUGAUCUCUCCCGAUUUCUUAAAAUUCCCAAUGUUCACUUUUUUUUUUUUUGAUCUUAGAUCAUAGUGUGCCCGGUGCAUUCACAAUAGAUUAAUGAGACACAACUUUUAUUUACUUGUGUACGAAAAAUUUUAUGACAUUAAUCCUUGCUUAAAGCAUAAUUUAGAGGUUCCAGACCAGCGUACUCGCAACUGCGGACUAUUUCGUUGAGAUAAGAAGAUUUUAGCUAAGGCAUGGCUGCUAACAUGCUCCAAGCAGCAGCAGAGUUGUCCUGAACGACACCCUCUGAAAACAUCUCAAUUGCAGAGGCAUGUCAUCAUUUAUUUCUUCGUAAGAUGUAAUCUGUCAGCAAGGUCAAGUGAUCUUGCCAACAAAAGGAAAAUUUUAGGCGGCUAAAGUUUCACUUCUAACACAUUACACAGCCCACAAAAAAUACACACGCAUAAAAGCAUCAUACGCGUGCCAUAUGCUUAAACCCAGUUUGCCCAAGUGAUUCCCAUUAAACAGGGCCUAUCCAUCAACAAGCCUACAGAAUGCAGCUGGAUUUGUAACAUCACGUGAAGAAAACAAAGCUGCGAGAGAAUUCGCUCUCGAAAUGCAACCCUACACUGCCCCGGCAAAACUGCAAGCAGAAGCUGUAGAACUUUGUCCCAAAUCCGAGAUAACUACUAAUCAUUAUCUGGCAGAAGUUAAUUUCCCAAAUACAUGUGAGCAGCCAUCAAUUUUCAUAAAGAACAGAAAAUGAUGAAAUUCAAGAUGCAGCUCUUUUUUUUUUAAUUUCCUCAAGCACUGGAACAGCAAUCAUAAAACAUUCAGAGCAUCUAGGGGGAACCAUCAAGGUCAGCAGCAUAGAGAUAAUUUCAAGAAACAAGGCUGAUGUGCUGUAAGAUUGACCGCUUGGGCUACAUCCCACAGCAUCUAAAACUCUGGGAAUUCAAGUAGCAGUAGUCCACGUAUCUAGCGACAUUAGAUUUAAGCCAUGCAAGUCAACCAAAAGAAAUUCUACCAACCAUUAUAAAGAUUUGCAUUUCCCUAGCCACAUGUUUCUUCUUCACCCCUAUUAGAGAUGUUCCAGAUAAAAUUCAAGAUCCAAUCAACAGAUUGAGCCAACAGAUAGCUGCAGAUCUUGAGCUUAUCACCAAAUGAAUGCAGACAACUUUUCAGAGCACAAGAAAGCAGAGAUUUGGGAUAACUGGCCUGCCUCACACGAUUCCUGCAUACUGCAAUUAACUGUAAUGCAGGUAGCAGAACAUGCAGCAAUUAGAAAACCAAAAAUAGCAAUAAAGGCUAAUAGAACUUCACCAGUAAAAAGAAUACAAUCUGAGUACCAAAACCAUCACUAGAUUCACCAGAGAACAUUUCAAUAUGCUAGUCUGAUUCAGUAUCAAUAACCCUGGAUUAUGAGCAAAUUGUCUAUAGUACCACCCAAACUAUAGUCCAUGAUCUCCCCUAAAGCUCUCUCGGUGAAACUUUUGAUGCAGCAGUUUCCUUCUUAGUGAUUUCCCUUAACUAGAUAAAAAUCUCUCACCAUAGCUACUUGCUCAUACAUAGCACUAUCUAAGCACAGUCCCAAUACAAACUACUCUUCUCAAGUAACACUUUAAACUGCAAAACAUAUAAGUGAGCACUAACUCGAUCAUCAAUAAAAGUGGACUACUGAAUAACAAAAUACAAAACCGACCACGUGAUUGUUAUCUUCAACACAGAAUUUAUAUCUUUGGUUGGAAAGGAAAAGGACCAGAGUAAAAGUUAUAACCCACUAAGAGUUUGUACCGUCACAGUUGACCUUUCAUGUCAAAAUGGUAAAUUUUUUAAGCUUUACUUUACAUGUUUCUUGACAUUUUUUAUGUGGAAAUCUCAACAUUAUUCAAGUGUCACACUUGCAUUAAGAUUACUUUCCCUCAUUAUUAUUUGAUAUUCUUUUCAUUCAUUUCUUGGCCCCUCGUGGUGGGGGACAGAACAUGAGAAUUGACAGAACUUGAGAAUUAGUUAUCUCCCUAAAUUGUGCUCCUCAGAUCCAUAAUUAAAUUUGUAGCAUAAACAGAUUGUUGGAGAACAAGAAUCACAGGGUUUUGGACUUUGCAGUUAUUUUAGACUUCAUCUCUAAGAGGAUAACAGUAGCUUUUUCAGUAUUUUUAGGAUGACAUAGAUAUUCAGAUUUAUGUUUAUGGAUUACUCCUUAUUAGAUACGUGCACCUUGUACAAAGUCGCUAGGUGGCAUUCAGAAUGAAAAAAUAAAUCAAGGAAGAAACUCUAAUUGCAAAGUAAACUUGUAAACAUCUUUAUCAUAUACACGUUUACAAGCAAACUGUCUGGAUUCGCGGCAAAUGAAAAAUGGUGCAGGGAAGUAGAUGAACCAGUGACCACUGAAAAAUGAAAAAUGGUUUUAAACCUGAAUACACGCACCAUGCAAGAGGCACAUCUUGCCAUCUUCCUCAGAUCAAGUUGCAUCAGAUGAUUCCUUUGACUUGUCAGUCACCACCUCCUUAUCAGACUUGCUAGUCUCUUCACUUUGAGCAUGACUUGAGUGUGUAUGUUCCGACUUGCCCAACUCUCCUGUCUCAGAAUGGGUUGGUUUUGUCAAAUCUGAAUUAUGAAAGUCGGAAGCUAAUCCUAGCACCACUAGUACAGACCUGACAGCAAUUCAAUUCCCUAGUCAGAAUAAGUACAAAUGUAAUUUAUAAGUACGACAGAGGUAACUUGUGUGAACCUUGGGAGUGAUGAUUUAAUAUGUGGUUGGCUAGCAUGUGCAAUCAAGGGAUCCCUUAGAGCUGGCGUUCUAUGUAAUGCAUUUUCCAGGUGUGCUGGUGGAAGCUGAAAAAGCGAAAGCAUCUAACAUCACAUUCAGAGCCCAGAGUAUGACAAGAAUUGAUAAAAUCACUGCAGUCAACUACAAAUAUUGGACCAAACUAAUCAAUAUGGCAAUUCAAGUAUUACUAAAUAACCAUAAAGGUCAGUCUCAGCAUAAUCGUCAAGACUUCAAGAGUCUACAACAUUUUAAAGAUAUGAAGAAAAUACAGAUAAUUGAAGCCAAGGAAGAACCAUAUCUCAGUGGAGAGCUCUAUUACAUAUACUGUCUUCUCAAAAUUUUUUCCUUUUAGCGAAUAUCUGCUUCAAAAGCAGGGGGAGGAAAAAAUCAAGCAUAUGGCAACUCGAAUUUGUAAACAAUCAUUUUUCAGCUGUUGAUAACUAUUCUUCUUCCAAUUUUGUAUUCUACAACAGAUGGCUUGUUAGCAAAAAAAAGUUCAAAUUGAUAGCCUGACAAGCAACCUGCUCAGCUGAAGAAUGCAGAGUCAAAUACAUGAUGUAGCACAAGAUUUAGAACCCACCACGCCCCCCCCCCCCCCCCCAAAAAAAAAAAAAGAAUAAUACAACUGAACAGAAUCAAUUCUGAAUUGGCAAAACUCUUCUUAUUACAGUCACUUCCAGAUCAUUCAUCAUUGAAUGUCAAUGUCAGCCACAUCCAUAUCUUUUAUAUAUCUAGACCAGCUCAGGAAGUUUAUAAGAUAAAGUUUGUGCAAGUAUAUCAGAGGAUGAUGAGGAAUGGCAGACCAUCAGCAGGUAAUUCACAAACAAAAUACCUGUAUCUGCUAAUUAUAAAACACAUAGAUUUAUCAAUUGGUUUAGCACUGCAAGAUCAAAAUAAUUAUCAUAACCCCCAAACACACACUAAUUAGUCACACAGACAAAAAAAAAAAAAGCAAAGUAGAAAUUUACUAGUUGAAAGAAAGUAUAGUUUAGUGAGCUACAUGAAUCAUGAACUUAAUGUUUUGCUACACAUAACAGUACCUGAAGCAAGACACCAAAAGAUUCUGGCUUUGUCAAAAAAGCACACUUAAUGAAUCCGACCCAUAGCUUUGGAUACUUCCAUAUCUGCUAGAAAACAGGAAAAUAAGUUCUCAGAAAGAAUGACAUGCAACAACUCCAUGAUCAAUUUUUUACCUGCUUCUGUACAAGGCGAGAAAGGAUUUCCAUUAUAUAGUCCACCUGAAACACAAUUAGGGUCAGGAAGCCACCAAUGAGAUUAUGAGAUACUUGACGAAAGAUGGAACUUAUCAUACAUUAGCCAUGACUUUGGAUCAUAUCCUAUAAUAGAUUCUAGCUAGAGUCACAAAAUCACAGCAAUAAUCCUUUAGGUAAAAUAUCGUAGUUGGAACCAUAGAAGAUCUCAGUUUUUAGCUAUUAUAGUCGGACACAUAGAAGAUCCCUCGGUAGAACUGGCCAGAACAGCACUGGACAUGAUCUACAUUUACAAAGAUAAUCAGCACAGCGUAUCCACCACUUUUCCCAACAUCAAUCUCAUUGAGUUGUCUGACAAUUACAAACCACUCUUAAAAAUCAAUGCAUGGUUUCCAAAUAAACAUACAAUGCCUCAAGUUCAAAGGAUAUAAACACAAUGUAUUUGCUCAUUCUUGUGGGCAAAAUGCUUAAAACUAUCAUGCUUUUUGAAUAUUUGUGGGCUAUCAAACUUGAAUAUUAAUAAAAACCAAUCUUUGUAAUUGAAUAUAGUGUAAAAGACCCCGCAUGAAAUCAACUCCUAAGCCUUGGCUACUCAAAAGGGACUAUCAUACACAAGUUAAUUCAGCUGCAGAUCAGCAGGCAGAGUAUAUGAUACAGAAAAUACUUUUCUGCAACAGUUUAAUCACUAAAAAACAUCUUACCAGUGAUGGAAAAGCACCAAUUGCCUGCAGCACUGUGCGCAUAAAUAAUAGGGGAAGGGGAGUCUGCUCAACCUGCAGCAGUAUCAAGUGAGGAAUGAAGUCACGUAGUUUGGAGGUUAAGAAAAAAGGAGUGGAGUUAGGAGUUCUGCAUACCAAUUGAUUCAAGACCUUUGCAAGAACUUGCUGAGUGAAGAUCUGUCGCUGCCCAAAACAAGUAUUACAUGCUUCCGUAACCUGUUCUUAGAAAGAUGUUCUUCAGUAAGCAACUUUAUUCGGAUAGGCUAGGGCAGUAUUGGAAAAUGUCCUUUUUUUGAGAUUUGAAGGUAUGAAGAACAGAGGUAAAGCUUGUAAAAUAAUAGACAAAGAUAGGAAUCUCCCUUACAUAGAUAAACAGCAUACCCUGACUAGCAAAAUAAUACAGGAUUGAGGAAGAGGAUAGAAAAAUAGAAUAGUUCUUUUUUUCUUUUUGGUUGGAAGAAAAAUACUGAUAUUUACUGUCAAAGAAAGUGCAAUUUGCAGGUAAGAAGUUUCCACUUUUAAGGCAGUGUUUGUAUUUUGUGGGAAAGGUUACCCUAUAUGGAAUAGCGUAUAUGGUAAUAGUACAACAAAUAACAAAAAGAGCUUAUAUAGGAAUUAAAAGAAAAAGCUACCAUAACUCAGAACAGAAAGGCAUUUUAGGAUUAUUCAACAGAUAAGUGCAACAGUAUAUCAACCGAAUGUGUGCAUUGGAUGUGCAAAAGAUGAAUUUACCACUAAAUACUAUGCUAUAACAUCCAAGAGACACCAUGGAUAUUUGAUGUUACUUUAGGCUUGUUUUAAAUGGUCCAGGGAAUUAGUUGUGUGAUGUUCUUGCAGACUGAAACUCAGCCUAAUAUCAUGUGACUAAUGUGCUGCUAUUUUCAGAUAGGGUGGGUCUCAGAGAUUUUCUAUGAUGCCCUUAACCAGAACAAAAAUGACAAAAAGACCACAACAGCAUGACUAAGCAUCUAAACACAUGGUAGAACAAAAUAUGAUUCACAUAUGGGGUCCUAAAGCCAAGGUGAUGAACUGAUGCUGCCAGGAACUGUAUUGUAAAUCAUGCAAGAAAAGUAUAAGCUUCCACACCUUCUUCAAAGGGAUCCCAUCUCUUUCUGGAUCAAUUCCAUGGAUUGCAAUCAAAGCUUCAGCUGGAGUUAUUGCCGGACAGAAACUAGAAGACCCCUGUUCAAAUUGUUGCUGUCAAAAUCAUUACAUAAUGGUGGCAUAGUAAAAUUAACAGCCAUAUGGAAGAAACAACCAAUUCAAAAAUCACCCAAAAAGGUACUAAGACAAGGGUCAGAUAGUAAAUUCUAGGUUAAAUCCAAGAUACAGCCAAGAGAAAUGAUCCAAAAUGUAACACAUCCAGGGUAUAAAUAUGAAAAAGUCUCCAACAUAUUUAUUAAAGGAAGGUUCACACUUGCACGACCAGAUUCUGAGGAUAAAGAUAAGAAAACUGUAAAUAUCAUGUGUUAAAAAAAGGAGUCUUUCGUACACUAACAACGUACACACUAGCAAACCUGGAUGUAUACACUAUCAGAGUAGGAAAGUAGUUAUCGCAAAAAAAUCCCUAAACUAAUUAGAUUAUCUAGAAAAGGUUCAAUGCAUUUAGAUGAUUACUAAACCAGCUCAUAAUGUUAUGACUUCUUGAAUGAACAAAGACAGAAUAUCUAAGAAAUUAAAACUCAAAAAAAAAAAGUGCCAACCACUACUAAUCAUGAUUGCUAACGGAAAAUUAAGGCUUUGUUUGGAUUGCAUUUUUUUGGAUUUUUUGUAGAAAAAUGACACUAGCAAUUUGAUAUGUGAGGUAAAAAGAUGAUUGGGAAAUAUGUUCACGGAAAACGUGGCAAUUUUUCUUUGGAAAAUUGCUGUCCAAACAAGGCCUAAGUGUCAUGAAAAGCUUCAAUUUAAUAAUUGCUCAAGGGCGAGUUUGACUUGAAGAAACAUUACAUACCUGCGCACAAGCACUUUUUUCUCUCCUUUUCUUUCAGAAAGCUACCCAUUAAAUGGGUGGUUUAGAAUGAACUCAUACCACUUAUCAAAAAGAUAGAGAUGUACAAGAACAACAUAGAACCAAAACAGCGGAAACAUAACAAAAAAAUCACCAAUACCUGAAGCACACAUGCAAGGGCAAGCUGAAACUUCUCCAAUGGGGAAUUCACGAGAUGUGGAAACAUUGCCAAAACCUUCAAAAUAGAAGAUAACCAGUUAUAGGGAAGCACAAAAGGCAAAAUUCAAGUCACUAGGGAGAAAAUAUAUAUGGUAUUAUCACAAUUUCUAUGUCUCUAUCUAUAACAGCUUGAUGGACACUUUGCAUUGCAUAAGCUAGUAGACCAUAAAACAAAGCCUUCCAUGAAAGUCAUACAUGUUCAUACACUACCCUGAUUCUAAUCUUCUCAAUUCCAGUGUAACUAAGUCAAUUGACCAAACCAAAAAAAAAUUGGAGAGACACAGACGCCCACACAGAGAAUGAAUCUGAUUACUACCAAAUUUAGUCGUGACAUUUUUGACAGGUCAAUAUUAAUAAUUUAAAACAUCUUUAAUAAUUUCCCAAGCAUAUCUUAGAAUAUAGUUGUAUAGCUUAUGAGCAAAUCUUGCAACUUAUUAGAUGAUGGUUUCACAUGAAAAUUUAAUUUUCUUGGUUUCAAUGCAUAUCUUACAUAAAUAUCACAUGUAUGAUACACUACAAAUCAUCUGAAUAAUACAUGACUAAGCUCAAAAUAACACAAAGCUAUUAAUCUCAUACAAAAAAGCCAGACCAAAGUUCAAAUUCUAUCACUAGUGGUGACAGAGAUUUGUCCUGGUGAUUAAUAUAUAUGCCAUGUGGUAGUUAGCUGACAUUUAAAGGUAAAGGAUCUCAUUUGGGUACAUAGACCCAGAUAAAAAUAACUGAUCCCGUGCCUAACUGCAAGAUCUGUAAAAAGAAAGCAUGUUAAAAUACUCGAAUUACUUAAAGUUAUUCAAGUAGGCAAUUCCAAAGGGCCAUAAAUAAAAGUAAACUCUGCAUAAAUAUGAAAUGGAAGAAAAAGAAAUCAGAAUGUAAAGAAGAAAAUUAAGACCUCAUCUUUUGGCAAAAAUGGCAGUAUGAGAAUUAGAAUCUCUACAUCCUGUAUAAAGAUAGGAAAAAUCAGCAAAGUGACAGAGUGAAGGCAAAAAUCACUUAUCUAAAAAGGGCAUCUCAACAGAGAAGGAUAAAGCACUAAAUGUACUUAUAAAGUUUAUAGUAUGCAAUCACCAGUGAAUUAACACAUUUAAAAUGUGGGAAAUGCUACCAUGCCAUUAGUGUGCACACGUCCCUCUUUAACAAAGCAGAAUUGCAAAUGUAAAGGACAAGGAUUGAGCUAUUUCUCUGUAUAUACUCAAAGAAUUCCAACUUUUGACCAACCCUAUCACCCAACUCCCCCACCUUAGAAGAAAAAGAAGAAAUAAAUAAAACAGCAACAAGAAGAAUUCAGAUUAGAACUAGGAAAAGAGCUAAAUUCUACACCUUUACUUUAGUAUCAUACAACUUCUUAAUGGUAGAUAACAAUUCCGGGGAAGGCGUUGUCCCAUCUAUCAAUGUGUGUAAAACCUGGAAGAUCAUCAAGACUGAGCCGUACUUUAUAAAAAUUAUUACUCAGUACUCUAUAAUAAAGAAUAUUCACAAAUCUAAAAACCUGCAUCACAAGCUCCAUGCUUCCAGUUGGUAGAUCAGAUAAGAUUUGAAGAAGCUCAGGCGACGGGCCAAUUGCUCGAACAAGCUUUGGGAUGUGGUGUAAUACUGCCUGUAACACACAAUUGGGUCAGAACAUCUAAAUAAAUUUGUUAAAAAGAACACAAAAUGCCUAAUUAUAAUAUAUUAGUUUGAGAUUGUACAAAACCUGCUUUACAGCCUUGGAUGUAUUCUCAUAAAUAACAAAUAUUUGGCGAAAGAGGGAGUGAUUCUGUGCAUCAAAAUUGAAUACGUACAAUGAGUGUAAGAAGAGACGUAUAACAAUCUAUAAUAUACUCACAUAGAGUUCAUUUCUGUGGCGCAAUUUUUGAAACGAAACUAAGUUUACACCUUUGUACAAAUUGCAAAAUACAGAGCCAUGCGUCGCUGCCCCUCAGCUAGUAAGGAGGACGAUAUACUUUCAGAUAUUGACAAUGAAUCGGUGACUGCUGAUAACCCUUUGGAAGAGGUACCAACAACGGGAAGUUCAUUUGAUGGUUUUCCCAUAUCAGAAUCCUGAAUAAAAAUGGUUUCUAUACAUCAUCAAAUUACUGCAACACAAGCAAGCUAUUUAAUCAUUAAUUCAAAAUUUGCAGAAUUAGAUAAUUGUUCAACAAAAAUGCAAUGCAAGUCAAACAAAAUAGCCGCAUUUAAAUCGUGAAAUCACUUUUCCAUUUUCAAAAGCAAGACCUUAAAUUCAGCAUUAGCUCCAUCAGCAUCACAUGACUCCAAUGCAGUAUUGGCAUUUGCAGCUGAUACCAACACCUCCCAGGCAAAAGCUUCUAUUUGCCGUGACAUUGAAGGCAGAGGAUAAAGCUUGUUCACCACCUGUAAACAUAGAAGCAAUAUAAACGAACAUAAUAUGCAACAAAUAUAAAUUCAAUUCAAAGUGACUUGAGCAAAGCAUACCAGACGUAAGGCCUUAUCUCGCACUUCUUCAACCGGAUGAAUUGCACUCUAUCAGAAAUCAAAAUAAAAUCCAAGUCAGAACUGAAGAACUUAAGGAUAGUUAGUCGCCUCCUAAAUAAAAUAACCUGAAUACCGUUUGGGUUUCAUGAGAAGCUCUUCAGCUUGAAAUAAAGGACUAUUUCUAAAGGAUGUGCACAAUAGCUUCAUAAACCCAAUACCCUAAACUCAGCAACUUCACUAUCAAGCAAAUUCAAGUGAAUGAGAAGACAAGCACAAGUAGAACAUACAACUGCCCCCUCAAUCAAUAAAUUUAAAGAGAACUUUUAAAAAGAGUUAUCACUCUCCAAUCCUACACCACAUACACAUAUUUAGUAAGAAAUUUUAACUUCUAAUUAACCAACACCUUCUCUUCUUUAUAACACCACCUCUGCUUUUCAACAAAAGAAAGGGGAGAAAAGGAACAAAAUAAGUACAUAACAAAGCAUGAGAGAGAUAACUGUGUGGUUAGCUUUAUUAAGCCAUGGAUCCUUAGCCAAUAGAUGUCCUCUUAUUAUACUUGAGCACAGCUUUGUCCAAUAUUCUUCUUUGAGAUAAUGAGCUGUUCUAUCAAUUAUACCAUAAUUACAAACAUAUUUCAACAUUUUCCAUUAUAAAAAAGCAAAGAAGGUUAAAAUAUGUCAUUUACAAGCCAAAAGCCCAUGACAAAAGAGCUGCAUAUAUACAAGUCAUAAAUCUUUUCAUAGAACUUUGAACAAGAUAAAUUAGGAAACCAUUGAAGCAUAUAUUAAAGCAAAACUAAUAAUGUUACAAUAGAAGAGAAAAACCUUCAAAGCAAUUGUUAGGCAGGCAUCUCGAAUAGGAGGCCUCAACAAAAUCAGACUCCAUACAAUACUAAGACCUUGCCGAACUCGUUCCAGAUUGUUGUUAUCUUUGUUACUGCCACCAGGGGAACACAUGCCCUCAAGCAAUUUCAAAAUGGAAUCGGGCAGGUAAGGAACUUCAACAAGCAAUCUAUUUAGACAUUUGUCAGGCCAUGGAAAAGAAUCCCUUAAUGUUUCUGCCUGCAUUUUAGAAGAUAAACAAGAUGGUAUAAAUAGCUACCAUUCACUUAGGCCAAAGAGGUAGAAAAGAUCACAUACCACGGUAAGAAGAAACAUCUCAUAUACAGAUUUAGAAGUGGUUGAGGAAACAAAGUCGUGGUCCUCUUCUGCUUCACCAUAUAACCUGUAGAGGACACGCAAAGUCAACUCGUGCCCCUGACAACUUCCACUGGUUAGCCAUGUUACUAGAAACUUUAAUAUUGCAAAUACAAAAGGCAGACACCAAAAGGUAUGGAAAUAAUUUUUACAGCUAAAAUAUCUGGAAAGGAGGAAAUGGAAAAAUUUAUGACUAUUCUAUGCUAGAGAUCACAUGUAAAUAUGCAUAUAAACAUACUAAAAAAUUUUGAUAAGUUUUCAGAAUAUUAGAACAUUCUAAAAGUUGAGAUAAAGUACAAGCCACAAAGCAAAAUUUGAGUAGACAACCAAACAAAGAAGGCUUAUGAAGAUUGACAGAAGUGACAACCAAUAAAUGCACUGAACUGCAUAUACCACCUAUGCUAUACAGCCUUUAACUAAAGUUAAUGACCAAUUACUGAUAUUCCAUAUAAGGCCUUGGUCAAAGUACCUGCUUUCCAAUCAAACAAAGAAAAGGUAAGAGAAAAAGAAAAGUUCUUCAAAGAUCAUUGAAUACAUUCUUUACAACUUCCAAUGUUUGGUGAGAAGUCUCUUAAGAAUAACCUAUAAAAAUUUGCAAUGCAUUUAAAUCAUGUUGCAUCAUUAAUGCCCAUAGAAUAGGAAGUGGAAAGGUGAUUGAUGUAAAGAUUGGAGAAACUUGCAAGCAAGAAUCACUAGUUAUAAAGUGCCAAUGGAAUAACAGCUUAAAAACAAAAAUCAUAUGCUGUAUGGCUUCAAGCCAUCUGCUUUUCGAAGUGAGGACAGCAUAAUGAAAAGAGUGCAACAUUUCAAGAACCAAUCUGUCUCCAGACACAUACAAACCGAAUAUAUCAACAAAAGGUAUGAUUACCUCAUGAUUUACAUAGUCAGACAGUAUAUGUGUUUGUAGUAACUUCCAUGGCUCUAAAUCCAAUGGAAACUGCAUCAAGAAGCACAUGAAACAAUCUUGAGCACCUUUUGUUUUCAAGAACAACAUCUAGCACUUCUUAUUACAACCAUUAUAAGAACAUAUAUCAGACAAAGAAAUCUUAGGCACAGUACCUUAACUCCUAAAUAAGCAAGUACAGAAAGGCAGACUUGAGAACCUCCAGCGGUAGCUAUUUGCUUGUAAGUAUCAGUUAUGCGCAAGAGAAUUGGCUUCUGUAAGUUAUCUAGCUGGUCAUCACUAAGACUUAUAACUGGGGCAGAAAUCUUGGGCAAAAGCAACUGUGUCGAUAACCCAGAAGAAGUUGCACUUAAGGAGUUGACACAGCUUAGGUCUGUGACUGUAGCUCUAGGGCUAAGUUCCUCAGACCUAUCAGUUGACACUGAAGGAAGUAAUUCUAGUGAUGACCUAGCUAGACUACUAACUUGUUCUUGACUUGCAUCCUUCAAUUCAGUUGAACCCAAAGAAGUAAUAACUAAUUCAUCGUUGGGAACAGGUAAAUCUAGACCAGGUAUGUCACUCUCUUCAUUCCCAACAUCAAUAACAUCAGAAGGCGUCCCUGAACCACCAUUCUCUGUGUCACAUGGGACAUGUCCACCUGAAGAAGCUGGAGUAGUUGUAGGCACCGAAGCCUCUUCCAUCACAUAGCUCAUACCAGGGACAUCAGUAUUACCCGAGGUCCCUCUUAGCUGCAGUUAAGGGGAUAUUGAUCUUAAAUAAUGAUGCCCAAUCAGAAUCAACACAAAAAGCAGUUUGUGGAGAAAUUAUAAAGAACUGAUGGUUAAAAAACAGAUUCUAGACAGAGUCAAAUGGCCAUCAUAAGAGAAGUAGGGUUGCAGAUUGAAUGAUACCAAAAAAAGAAAAGAGAAAAACAGGCUGAGGAUUCAGAAGCACCUCAAGCUCAUUUGCUGCAGAAGGUAGAGAAUCCAUCCCACCAUCUUUCUGUGAGACAGCACUAGAUUGUGAAAGAAGGUUGGUGAGAAGCAAUGUUAAAUUAUCAAACUCAGAAUUGCUUCCUGACAUGCCAGGACAAGACCCUCUGCCAAACAACUGCUCAUUAUCUCCUUCAAUUUGAGGGCGAUUUGAAGGAAAAUUUCGCAUGUUAGCAAUUACAACUUCAGCAAGCAAGUCAGCUGAUAUACUAGAGAUGAGAAUCUCUAAUGAUGCAAUAGCUUUUUCUCCUUGAGCAACCAAUGCACCAAACAUACCAACAAGUUGUUGGACAGGGCCACUGUCUUCUUCCAUUUUACAAGCCCCAGAUCCACCAGAAGGAACUCUGCCCUGGUCAGAACUUAAAUCAUUUGUUGAUCCAUCAGAGGUGACAGGCACAGAUUUCAUGCGUUUUACAGACAUUUUAUCCUCAAGUAGAUCAGUACUUUCUUCCAUUCCUGUUCUUUUCCUGCUGGCGUCAUUGCGUAUAUCAUCAAGGGCCUUGCUUGUAGGUUUUCGAUCCUAUAAAAAUUUGAUCCUAGAAAUAAGUGUUGAAAAAAGGAAAGAAAGAAUACAGUCCAUAAAGAUUGAUUUUAAGUCUACUUUUAUGUACUAAUAUACAUAUGCAGAAACAUAAAGAUGUUAUUAACUAUAGUCAAACACGGCUACAGCCAACAAAACACAUACCUGGGUUAUUAAAGAAUCAUUUUUCCUCUCUAAACUUCCACUAUUUUGUGAAGCUAGUUCUAUAGCAGCAUGUUCUGCCACUCCUACAGCUUUUAAUUCUCUCAGAGCAUCAAUUAAGCGAUCACGCCACUGAAAAGCCAAAGAGUCAAUUAAAGUUAGUGAUGCUCAAAAUCAAAGCCACAAGUCUGUAAACAAAUUCACCUGAAAAACUACUUGAGAAGACAUCCUAAUCCAAAUGAACAGGAAGAGAAAAGUCAAGAGAAUUUCAGUCUUGAGCACUGAACCAUUUCAGUAUUGUUGGCUGAGGAGAGAGAAUGAUACAUAUAUAUAUAUAGGGAGAGAGAGUACAUGCAGCAGGUUUCACGCUAUACAUUUCACUGUACUGCCUAUUACCCAAUAUUGUACAGCUAAGUAAUCAGUGAAUCGGUAUGAACAUGAAAUCAGUAAAAUUAACAAAACAGGACAACACUGAGACACAAUAAAAGUAGAAGAAUAAGACUCAUGAAUGUAUUUACAUCUGAAAAAGUCAUAACUAAAAAAAAAUGAUCCCAAUCAAGAGACUCAAGAAUGCUCAUUUCAAAAAUAAAAAUUGAAAUUAAAUACCGGGACAGCACCCGGAUGAGUACAAUUCAAGCAAGAGAGGAAGGCACUCUUCAAAGCAUGAUGCACCCCUUUGCCACUGGAGCUUGAAGGGUCCAAACCAAGUAAAACUGGCAGAAUACGUCCAUAAAAUGCAGGCCUUUUACUUGCAAUUGCAGAGAGACUGUUGGAAAAUGACAAAACGAAACAGCAGUUAAAGAGAAGAAAUGAAAAGUGAGAGACAGCCAGACAAACAAAGAUGCAUGCAUGCACGCACACACAUUGAGAGACGAAUAUGAAGUGAAAGAGGAAAAAAAGUUACAGAAAUUUAAAAUUACAAAACUGAAGCAAAGUAAGAUAUAAGAACUACCUGUUGAUAAGCAUAAUGAUAAUCAAGUUGUUCAGUGACUUUACUGUUGGAAAUCUCAACUGAUCGAGCAGCAGACCCAAACUCUGACUUGCUUCAAUUGACAAAUCUCCAAUAUUUAGUAUAGGAUGACCCCCUCGAAGCCAUGAUAUGUUAAAUUCUUUAACACUGGCUGCAGAAGGUGAGAAGGUUUCAGAAGAAAUACAUAUUUAGUAACUUAAGAAAUGCCUUCAGGGAUAGGCUAAGGAGCAAAUGCAUACCGAAAAGAUGCAUAUCUAAAGUACCUUCUGAAUCUAGAUCAGCAGGUGGAUCUGAGGAGCCAUUAGGAUCAGGUGUAUAGAGUAGAACAACUGUUUCCAUAAACUUCAGUGCAAGCAACCUUCUCCCAUCACUUCCUGGCUAAAGAUUUUAUAGGAACAAGUUAAACAGUGCACAGAGGCUAGAUAGGUGCAUCCCAUGUUUCUAGAGUCUCAUUUACCUUAAAUGCCAACGAGCAUAUCUCAUCGCGAAACUUUAGCAUCCAUGACCAAGAUGAUUCCAGAGAAGUAUCCAACUCGUUUGAAUACAUUCCCUGCAAAGUACACAAAAGAAUAUGCAAUACGUACAAUUUUACUCAAGAACAGAAGAUUCAGCAAGAGGAAGACUUCUUUCAGCAAAUAAGUGAUUAAAACGAGCUCAGCAGACAAAAAAUUACGGGUACGACAAAAUAAAAUAUAGAGAAUAAUAAAAUCAAUGACAAUGCUUACACAAACUUACCUUCUUUUCUUUUUUUUUUGUUUCAUUUUAAUAUCUUCUUAUAUGCAUGCCUAUAUCCUGAGGAAACAAAAUUAAGAUCUGCAAAAUAUAGGCAAUAAACUUAUCCCAUCCAAGCAGUAGACUAUUGGUUUCAAAAGCGGAAGUAUAAAACAUCAAAGCCAUGCAUCAUAGUGUUUGGAGUCUAUCACUGAACCGAACAGCACAUACAAAAUGGUAAUGAACAACAAGUCAUAUGAAAUAAAAGCCAGAGGACAUGGGAGGACAGGAAAAUCUCCACAAGGUAGAAGAUAGACAAUGCGAGCAACUGUAGGACCAACUAUCAUAGCACUGCGAAAAAAUUAACUAAAUCAAGGUCUUCCACAAGCAAGGGACAAAUAUCUAAACUCAAUGGUGUGCCCAUACAAUUCCAAUUUACCUGGAGCGCAACUUUGAAUAGAACAUAGCGAAAAAUCUCCAUACCACACCUAAUAGCCUGUCGAGCAACCGCUGGGGUAUCAUCCUUCAACACAGGUAUUAAUACAGGUACCAUUUCAGGUAUGGAUUCUGCAAACUUCAAUCCAAUGUCGCCAAUCAUCCUACAGCGGAAAGAAUCCAACACAAACACAUUACUCGUCUAGUACUUUAACCUCCUUUGACAGGAAACCUUUUACAGGCCAAUCAAGUCUCCAGCACUGGCUCAAGAUAUGAAUCCAGCUUAUCACAUCAUGCGAGUCCUAACCUACCAAUAUCACCCCUAAUUCGUCUAUGUCAAUGUCAUCAUAAUUCUGCCAAUGAACCACGCAUGCAAAAUCCUAUAGAGGACCAACUCGUAACAAAAAAUGAAUGAAAACUGGUAGCAGAUGCUAAAGUGGCAGCAUGGACUGAGUAAAGGAAAAGAAUUACAUUCUAAGGUCAAUUUGUCUUAGUCUAAGACCUUCACUUGAAAAAAAAAAAAAAAAAGUUGAGCAACAUUUCAGUUAUAAAUAACUUCCAGAUGUUUCUUUAGACAAAUGUCCUGCAUUUCCUCCAAUUUCAUUAAAUCGAACACGAGCAUAACACCUUUCAAGCAUCCGCACAUACAAAGAUUUCUUACUCAGCAGUGAAUUUACGAACGGGACUGAAGCGGUCCGAGAGGAGGUCCAGAAGAGGGGAGAGAAACUUGGAGAGCAAGACAGAAUCGGCAUUCGAGAGUUCGUCGCUCAGCGAGCGUAAGUGUUCCAGCUUCGAAGGAAUAUCAGCGUCAAACUUCACCGAGUUUAUGAGACUCGAGAUUUUGUCUCUGGAAACUGUCGCCAUUAUUCCUACCAUUGCUUACGAAGAAAAAAACCCUAAUCCAUAGAACGUCAUCUACAACGAUGGUCUCACUGAUUCUGCCCCGAGAAACGUGAAUUAGAAGACGCCUAGAAUCACGGGAGAACGGAGGGAGAUUAGUGGACCAAGGUCCUCACUUCUCACUUGUCUGAAACGAAACUCUACUCUUGGUCGUCUUAACAAACCUUGCCUGGGGGUAUUCCGUAGGAUUUGGUUGAUUCGUUUGCGCCCUCAAAUCAAUGGCUACUCGAGAGCCGAGACUAGCAGUAUGCCUACCAAACUGGCUUUGAAACGCCUGCCCCGUCGCGUCACUAGCGUAUGAUGUUUUUCCCAUCCAAGCCCUAGUUAGUCAAUAUUUAUUCGUAUAAUACAUGUUUGUAUCUAUUAUUCACAAAAAUAUUUUCAUAUUUUGUACACCGUAAAAAUGCUCCGAAAAAUAUUCGCAUAUACCACGAAUUAUUUAAAACACAUAUAGUAAACUUUUAAGUUUGAGCGCAUUAAUUUAUACACCAGGAAUGAUACUUCAAUUUUUUUAAAAUAUUUUAAAAUUUUAGUAAGGAUAAUGGCAUGCCUUUUAAGUUUUAUAUAUAUAAAAAAAAAAGAGCUACGUAUAUCAUAAUUCUUGUAGAUAUUAUUACACUCCUACGUAUAAUUUCAUGAGAAGUACGCAUGAAUGGCCCCUUAAAGAAAAGGCCUUUUUAUUUUGAUCUUUCUUGCGUACCAAAUGAGAGGUAAGAGUAAUAAAAUGAUCUUAUUUUAAUAAACUUAACAACUCAUACAAUAAUAAAAAGGUUUAAAAUUAGUAUAAAUAUAGUAUAAUCUUUGGAAAAUCAUUGCAAAAUUUAUCGCUGCUUUAGUUCCGUAAUUUUCAAAUAUAUUCGUAUUAUUCACUUAAGAAUUUUUGUAUAUACAAUUUUGUUGAAGAUGUAUUUUUACCCCGAAUUUUUAAUCAUACUUCUAAAAAGUAUUUUGCAUAUGCAUAACACUCGUUUUUUACCAUUUUUGUAUUUUACUGACUAUAAUCCAAACUAAUAAAAAAGAUAAAUGCUCGAGUUAGUUUUUAUUUAUAAAUGUUUAUAUCAUCAUCAAUUUUGUUAUGAUCCACUCUUUACCCCACCCUAAAUUUCCAAAGGAAUUUUGUAAAUGCCUUCUAGCUAGUGAACUUUUAAUUUAAUACGCAAAGAUAAUAUUUUAAAUAUACACACUGACAUUUACUAUCUCCUAUAUUUUCAUAAACCUUUUGGCUUUAAUCAUAUACUUACCAAAAAUAAAUAAAGAAAUAACAACUAAAACCUCGUGCUAGGCACUUAUUAGAAUAAUCAGUUAUCGCCAACCUCAAAUCAUAACCAUUUAAAUGACAAAAGAAGGUAAGCUUUUAUUGUCGUUUGUAAAUUGUUUUAAUUCCUGCUUAUUUGUUGUUAACACAACCACAUUAUUUCCCCUAACAACACGUAUUUUAAUAAGAACAAGCAAAACAUCACAAUUUUUCAAUUUUUAAUCCGCAACUUUUUGAAAUUCUUAGACAUUUAAACUCUCAUUUUACAAUAUUUUGUUAGUGAGUGCCCAGUCGACCUGUUAAUUAGGGUCCAAAUACAAAUUUAAUACAAAAAUCAAAAUUAAAUUCCAGAAAGUGACCAAAUCGAAUACAAAAAGUGGGAAUGAUUGUGAAAGUUUGCGUUUAAAUGACUGGCUUUGUAUCUUAAUUAAGUCCUCUAGAGCUCAAGUUUAAAUUAGAAAUCUAUGACUUUUGACGGUAAAUGUUCAUAAAUCCAAAACGAAGCAGUUGAAAAACAUAUGCUUUACAUAUAGACUUUGAAGAGGUAAAUUCUGACUGGAUGAGGUAGAAUUUCCCGGAAGCGUGAAUACCUCCUCCUUGAGUCUGGUCACUAUGACGAGGUCACCUGCUCAGGUUAUAGGGGGGGACUGAAUCCCCCGAUAUAACUCCGAAUCUUAAGUCAGUUCGGAAGUAAAGAUAGUUGGAUAGUGAAUGAGGAGAGUAUUGUUUUACCCGAAAUUGGUCAUCCCCCUUUUUAGUAGAAGGGUUGAGUAUUUAUAGGGGAAGGUUGCGUGGGAAGAACAUCCAUCACAGGUCCCUAGAGAUCUGAUUCGGUCAGUGCAUCCGGUGGAUUAGACCGGUCCCUAUGAAAAGACAUGAUGGGACGUUGGUAAGGUUCAGGCGGCGUGUCAGGACAGCCUUCUGUCAGGUGUCAGAGGCUCCAAGAGUCACAUCCAACCUUUGUGCUGGAGUCGGGUGUCCAUAGAUCACCUCGGCUAUGAGAUUGACCGAGGUGACCAAGGGGCGGGGAGUGACUCGAUGGGCGGUGUUCGGAGCGGGAGACCCGGGGUGAGCCAUCGGAUUACCCGGGCCGAAAUCACCUUCCUCACUAAGCCCCCCAAGCUUCGAGAAGGGCGAAGUCGUUGUUAUCUGAAGUCGUACCUCCUCGAGGCUGAUGAGCGUGUAAAACACGGACCUGGGAAAGGAGCGAGGAAUGAAUCAAUCGUCAGGUGAACAGGAUUUGCAUUAAUGAGGAGAGAGAACGGGUGCUGUAGGAAGUUCGAGGGGUGCCGACUCUUUGGUUUCCCUCUGCUGCCUAUAAAUAGGGGUUCUUUUUCACCGUUUUAUUCUCUACUAAAAAUCGAAAAUCACUUCAGAGCUCUGUCUCCUCGUCGUUUCACUUCGGCAAUCUUCUACAAAUUAUCCUCCACCACUUCUUCACUUCGCAUUCCCUAGUAAGUACACUUCUUUUUUCUGCCCUUAUGGCUAGAGUCGCUCAUACCCACAAAGAAACAGUGAGACCCAACUUCACCGAGGCAGAGAGGCCUGACCCUUCCGAGGAAGGACAUACAGUUGGCACAGGGGACGGAGGUGAGGAGGUGUCUCACCGAGCUGAAACUUUGGAGGAACAGGCCGACGAGAUCGAGGUUGAUCCCGAGGUCCUGUAUAACGACGACCUCGGGAAUGAGGUUCCUAAAGAUGAAGGCGUGCAGGAGCCUUCCACUCCUCCUAAUGUAGCAACGAUGAACUAUGGUCACAUGCCAGCCUUCCGCAGUGCCAUGUCGGAAGCUUCUGUGGCCGGGGUGAUACGUAAAUACCCCUGGAGAAGGGACUACAGCAUAUACGUACCUCAGCCGGACCAAUCUGCCGCCCUGCCACCUAAAGGGAGGGUGGCAGUAUACAUGGAUCAGCUGGAGGCCGGGCUCAGAAUGCCCACCACAAGGUUUCUCCGGGAUUGCCUGAGGUACUGGGGGGUGAGGAUCACUCAACUCACCCCGAACACGAUCCGGGUCCUAGUCGGCUUCCAAUUGCUCUGCCGACAUCAGAAGAUCGAACCCACCGUCAACCUCUUCCGUCGUUGCUAUUCACUUAAGAAUAGCGGGAGUGAGAAGGGCUGGUUUUACUUCGGGAAUAAGGUCCCGAAGUUGGUGUAUGAUGCGCCGAGCUCAAUAAAGGAGUGGAAAAGGAACUUCAUGUUCGUCCCGGCUGAGGACUUUCCUGGAGGAUUCUGGUGGAGGCCUCCCACUUCGGUCAAAGAGACUUCCCCGGGGAAACUGGAAGAACGCAACUUCCAGAAACUGACGGGGUCAGGCCUCAAAAUCAACUGCUGGGACUUCCCUGAGAACGUGCUUGUGGAAGGAGGGCUCAGUCGAGCCCUAAUCAGCCCGGAUCACCCCGUCCUGAUCUCCACUAGGCUUCAUAUACCCCGUACUUUUCCAUUUUUCUUUUCUUGUUCCCUCUUCUUGAAUUCUAACUGACUCUGCUUCACUCUUUGCAGUGACAAGACUUUCCGAUCUCAUUACUUCGGGAGAAGUCGAGGUGGCGAAGAGGCCAUCAAAGAAGCGCAAGGACGCUGCCGAGACCUCUUCCAGGGCGGCCAAAAAGACCACGGCAACAGCGGGCACCCGUGAGCCCGCCGUGGUGAUAAUAGGCGAGGGUUCGCACACCUCGGGCACGGCUGGGAGGUCCAAGUCAUCCAUUCCAACAGGGAUUCCUUCCCGUGGAGUGACCUUGGUUUCUCCACCUCGGGGAAGAGGCCGGGGUGCUACCAUGGUUCAGGAUCACCCCAUUACGGGGAACUCAUUGUUCAACCUCCAUCAUGUACCCUCUCUCACAGCAGGGGAAGACAAAAGGCACUCCGGGGCACAAUUUUGUCCGGAGUGGGAGAUUAAUAUGAAUGACCGCUGCAAGAAUUCCCAGGUCGCGCACGAGCUCCUGGUGAAUUCAGUCUUGCCGCGGGACAAUACUUACACCAGGAAGCUCGAUCCAGCCGAGCUGAUGCAAGGAACAGCGGCCUCCUGGGCUGCCACUACGGCGUUCGUCGCCGAAAUGUACCAACGCUUCGGGGACUUCAUCAGCACCUACGAGUCACCCUCCGAGCUUCAGAAGAAAAUUGCCGACCUGGAGGAGAAGUUGAAGGCCACCGAGCAGGAACGGGAUAAAGCCGAGGCAGCAAGGGAGAAUGCCGUGGUCGAGAACAACUCCCUGCUCACCGCGCUUGACGAGGAGAGGCAAAGAAGGGUUCAACAAGAGCAGUCAAGUCUGGAGGCCAUAAACGCAGCCGGGGUCUCCGCCGUAGAGGCGUUCCGCAGGACCGAGUCCUUCGUUCGUGACCUCGGCGAGCUCUCAAGGCCGAGCUUCAUGCUGGGUUACACGUCGGCCAUCACCGAGGCGACACCCUUCCUCUCCUCUGAGCAGCUAGAGUCCUUUCAGAGCACCUCACACUACAACGAGGAUGCCAAGGAGCUAUGCGACCGCAUAGCAGAGGGCAUUCAGGCUGGGAAGGACCUGGCCGAGGUCCGUGCCGAAUUCAACAAAUGGCUCCUAGAAUCUGAACUAGAUGGGGAUAGUGUCGAAGGGAGUCAAACCAGUAAAGAGGCUGAAGGAGGUCAGGCCGGCGAAGGGGCUAAGGCCCAGCCAGACGCCGAAGUGGGGGGUGAAAUUGUAGGCCAGAGUGCUUAGGAGCGCCCAUUUUUGUAAUAGGUGGACUAAUAGGUGUACCGAGGUCAUGGAUGACCUCGCUUUGUCAAUUUCUUGUGCUCUGGAGCCGAGGUCACAUAUAACUUCGGCUUAUUGUUCUUUCACUUCAAUGCAAUUGGCUUUUCUCACAUGUUUUUGCUAAUUGAGUUUGGUUUUCUCUUGUUUUUCUUCUUUUGGCUACUGUUUUGUCCCCUUAUUUUUUACUUAAGAUAAAGGAGAAUAAGUGAUAAAUAACAACGGAAUGAGAUUCGACAAUACGUACCCCUUCAAGGGAAAUACAUCUUAAGAUUCUCAGCGUGCCAAGUCCGGGGCACUCGCGAACCAUCUCGGUAAGCUAACUUACAAUAUCCAUUUUGGCUGGACUCAACAACGCGGUAGGGUCCCUCCCAUUUGGGGUUAAGUUUUUCCUGGGGUUCAGUUCGGCUAACUGAAUUCUUCCGGAGUACGAGAUCCCCCGGACU
rnacentral:lncRNA from 1 species